UGUGGUAUGAGUGCCAAUGAGACAACUCUCCAUCCAAGUCACAAUGUGUAAAAAGUAAACAAUUAUAGGUCAAAGUACGGCUUUCAAUACGGAGCCUUGGCUCACACCAAACAGCAAGCUAUAAAGGGCCCCAAAAUGACUAGUGUAAACACAUCAAACGAAUGGAAAACAACUGUAUUUAGUUUGUCAGUAUUCAGAGUAGAUUGUGUGGUGUAAACACGGCCAUAUUCUUCAAUUCCCCCUUUUUUUUUUAUCAUGAACCUUAAUGAGUGCAAGAUAUUUUCAACAUGUUUGUUGAAAGUUUUCAUUUCUUAUACCAGCAUGUACCUUAAUAUGUAUUUAUAGAUUCUCUUGUACACCUGUUAAAGUAUGAGAUUAUGAAUAAAAUAUAGAUAAUUUGA